CAACAGGGAUUGCCCUAGUAACGGCGAGUGAAGCGGCAACAGCUCAAAUUUGAAAUCUGGCUUCGGCCCGAGUUGUAAUUUGUAGAGGAAGCUUUAGGCGCGGCACCUUCUGAGUCCCCUGGAACGGGGCGCCAUAGAGGGUGAGAGCCCCGUAUAGUUGGAUGCCUAGCCUGUGUAAAGCUCCUUCGACGAGUCGAGUAGUUUGGGAAUGCUGCUCAAAAUGGGAGGUAAAUUUCUUCUAAAGCUAAAUAUUGGCCAGAGACCGAUAGCGCACAAGUAGAGUGAUCGAAAGAUGAAAAGCACUUUGAAAAGAGGGUUAAAUAGCACGUGAAAUUGUUGAAAGGGAAGCGCUUGUGACCAGACUUGCGCCGGGCGGAUCAUCCGGUGUUCUCACCGGUGCACUCCGCCCGGCUCAGGCCAGCAUCGGUUCUCGUGGGGGGAUAAAGGCCCUGGGAACGUAGCUCCUCCGGGAGUGUUAUAGCCCAGG
rnacentral:rRNA from 1 species